rnacentral:rRNA from 1 species
UACGUAGGGUGCGAGCGUUGUCCGGAAUUAUUGGGCGUAAAGAGCUCGUAGGCGGUCUGUCGCGUCGGUCGUGAAAACUUGGGGCUUAACCCUGAGCUUGCGGUCGAUACGGGCAUGACUGGAGUUCGGUAGGGGAGACUGGAAUUCCUGGUGUAGCGGUGAAAUGCGCAGAUAUCAGGAGGAACACCGGUGGCGAAGGCGGGUCUCUGGGCCGAUAUUGACGCUGAGGAGCGAAAGCGUGGGGGAGCGAACAGG